CAGAGGCGCGGUCGAGGGCACCGAUCGGGCACUGCCGCGGGCGCGGGGGUGGGCUCUGGCGCUGGCGCGGACGCGAGCCGAGGGCUAGAGGCGCGGGGCGAAGGUGGGCGCUGGCGGUGGCGCUGGCGAGGGACCCAAUCCUCUAUCUCUGGGCCCGGCUCAAACUGCGGCAGCCUUCGGCAAGGUCGGCUCCGCCACGGCGGCGGAGGUGGCAUACUCGAUGGCGCGGGAGAAGAGGAACCCGGCGAAGGAGGGGUAGCGCGGGAUAAUCGGGGAGCAGGGAGUUGCCACAGCUACGGCACGACCGGGCGCUGGCGAUCUGCUGGUAGAGGAGCGGGGCGGAGGCGGGUUCCGGCCAACAUUUUUUUUUUUAUCUUACUUUUUAUUCUUUUCUUUAUAAUCAAAUCUAAUUAUUUUCUCUUAUUAUAAAAA